rnacentral:snoRNA from 1 species
AUCCUUUUGGAGUUCAUAAGCGUGAUGAUUGGGUUUUCACGCGCAUGCGUGAGAUGUGCCUCCCUCAAACCUUGUUACGGCAUUGGCACAUUACCCGUCUGACG